ensembl:lncRNA
AGAGGGGCUCGCGCCUCCCGCCGGCGGGGCGCCCUCACAGCCCCCGGCCGCCAUUUACAGUGCGGGGUGUGUGGGGGGUGGGUGUUGGGAGGGGAAGCAGCGUUGCCUUGACUCACUGGAUCCUUGCACUUUCCAAAAAAAAAAAGAAAAAAAAAAGGAUUUUGAAAUUCAGACUCUUGGUUCCAUUCCCCAAAAUGUAUUAAAUCUUUCUCUUGAGCCCAGUGGUCCAGAAACAUCAUGUGUCUAUGCACUCCAUUCCUCUUACUCUCACUACCAAAACCAGGAACUUCCGUCAGGAAUCUGCCUGGAAACAGUACAUGGAAGAUUUUGAAGUUGUGGCUGAUAGACCCUCUGCCCAACAGGAUAAGGUAGCAUACGUGAUAACAACAGUAGCAAAGCUAAAGUCAACACUGCUAUGUUUGUCUCAGUGACAAGGAUGACAAGGGAAACAAGGAUGUGUCACAUGAGGAAUGAAUUGAACCCGUCCGUCUCCAAUUACAGGUACAUACUUGGACGAAUUUACAACACUCCUUUGGUAUAUCUUCUUCUUAAUUGUAAGUAACAACAUGCAAAUACAGACAGUCUUCCACUAGCAUCUCCAUGACAAUCAGAGGUAUUAUUUACGUUUGUGUGUGAAUACGUGAAAGGAAAUGCAUGUACAUCUAGUCACAGGUCUUUGUUUCUUAACUAGAAGUUCACUGGCAUUAGUUUCUAGAAGUUAAGUUUCCAGAAAAUCACAUGAUUUUUCACAGAAAAAUUUUCUCUUUACUUAAGUCUAAUUGUAAGCCUGAAGUCUUAAUUUUCUUGUGGUGGAGCCUUUAUUUACAGAAAAGAAGAUGCAUUUUUGCAGGGAAAAUGUACAUAAAAGCACAAUAAUCUUUCCAUAGUAAACAAUCCUGGGCCUGCUGCUCUGGCACCAAUCCAUCCCUUUCGGCUAGAGGAAGGCAUGAUGGAAGGAAAGCCUCUGGGCCUGUUUCUGUUUUUUCUGUCAAAUGUGGACAUAAGACCUUAGAAAAAUAAGCUGAAUUGCACAAAUGCAUGGUACAAAAUGUACCUGAAAUAGUCUUAUGGCUUUCAUAAAUCAUUUUAUUCUAGUGUGAGGAAAGAGUNNNNNNNNNNNNNNNAGAGUGGAAGAAAGAUUAAAGAUGCUUGUAGUGCAAAUUAAGAGCAAAUUCACUACAAAUUUUUUAAUCAGAAAUUCUGUGAGAUACUCUGCAGACAAAUGCCACCUGCAAAACCAUGCACCUGUGUAUUAGUAGCUCAAACUGAAUAUACCGUAUUAGAGAAGAGGAAGAGUGGAUUCCACUGAACUAGCAAAUCUGAUUCUGAAGCAUGGCUAGGUAAUAAUGUUGUUCUAGGUCUCACUGGUAGGAAAUAUAUCAAAAUACUUAUUAGACUUUAUUUCCUCACAAUUCUGACAUAUUUUUCUCCUAAUUAUAGAAAAAUACUUGUUUUAGAUUAUACAGAACAUAUACAGUAUGAAAAAUUACAACUUUGAUGCUUUAUACAAAACUUACUGCUUGGCUUAAUUUAACAAUUUUUCAUGUCAUCUUCAGAUUCAUAUAAUGUUUAAAAGUAGACUGAAGACAUUUGUGUCUCAGGAGUUCAUGAUUUUUUUUUGUUUUGUUACUGAUUAUUAGGUGAAAGGAACUGUAAAAGAAUUGGUGAGACCUAGUAUUAUCCUUUUCCAGUUUUUUACUCUUUUCAGAGUUGUCACACACAACAACUUUGAGAUAUAAACGACAUUGUAACUCUUGGAUGUAUUUACAUUUUUAUUCUCAUGUCUAUUUUCUUACUAAAGCUCCUGAAAUUGAAAAAAAAAACCAAACUAUUAUUCUGAAACUAUUUGCCCAGGCAAAUCAAGAUUCAGGACUGAGACUUUCACUAUGAUAUAGUGUCUCAUAUUUGAAUCAUACCAAAGAAGAAUUAAGACCUCCAUAAUUUUAAUCACUUUUUUAUUUUUUCUUCCUAGAGGNNNNNNNNNNNNNNNNNNNNAGCAGGAGAACUCAUGUGGUUUUAGUACUGCCCUGUGUUCUGAAUUAAAUAUGCUAUAUAGCCUAGGUGACAGCCGCAUGGGACAGAGCUUGAGGCUGUUUGAAAUAUCCAUCACAAAGGACUUGUCAUAGUAUUUCUUUAUAGACUAUCCUGACAUUUCUGUUUUUGAUGUAUUGGGACAUCUAAUGACUGGGAGAGUAGGUCAGCAUUCAUGUGUCUUCCAUUCAUAUUUUCUUAUUAUAGACCAUCUUCAAAAUCUGAUAUGAGCAGGAUUUUGUACAAGUUUUAAAGAGUGGCUUUUCUUACACACAAGCAAGGAUAAUUCUUGAUAAACAAGAUUACUUUCCAUACUUAAAGAGUUUUCCUCAUCAGAUUAGAGGAUAAAACAGAUAAGAUGUGAUAAUCAGCCAGAGUCCAUGAAGAUCAGAAGCGUGAGCUGAAAAGUGAGGUGACCUCCAAGCAACUGCAAAUAAUUUAGAGUAAUUAGAAAACAUGCACAUUCACAGAAGUCACAGUUAAUUUGCGAGCGAGAAACUCACCACAAGAAAAAACCUUGCACAUCUCCACAUCUCACGUAAAACUACUUAUAUGGAGCAGAACUCUGAAUAAAACAUAUAGUAGGUUUCA